rnacentral:misc_RNA from 1 species
GAAAUGCGAUAAGUAAUGUGAAUUGCAGAAUUCAGUGAAUCAUCGAAUCUUUGAACGCACAUUGCGCCCGCCAGUAUUCUGGCGGGCAUGCCUGUUCGAGCGUCAUUACAACCCUCAGGCCCCCGGGCCUGGCGUUGGGGAUCGGCGGAAGCCCCCUGCGGGCACAACGCCGUCCCCCAAAUACAGUGGCGGUCCCGCCGCAGCUUCCAUUGCGUAGUAGCUAACACCUCGCAACUGGAGAGCGGCGCGGCCACGCCGUAAAACACCCAACUUCUGAACGUUGACCUCGAAUCAGGUAGGAAUACCCGCUGAACUUAAGC